rnacentral:rRNA from 1 species
AGCGAACGCUGGCGGCAGGCCUAACACAUGCAAGUCGAACGAACCUUUCGGGGUUAGUGGCGGACGGGUGAGUAACACGUGGGAACGUGCCUUUAGGUUCGGAAUAACGCAGGGAGACUUGUGCUAAUACCGAAUGUGCCCUUCGGGGGAAAGAUUUUUCGCCGUUAGAGCGGCCCGCGUCUGAUUAGCUAGUUGGUUGAGGUAAUGGCUCACCAAGGCGACGAUCAGUAGCUGGUCUGUGAGGAUGAUCAGCCACAUUGGGACUGAGACCCGGCCCUAACUCCUACGGGAGGCAGCAGUGGUGAAUCUUGCGCAAUGGGCGAAAGCCUGACGCUGCCAUGCCGCGUGAAUGAUGAAUGUCUUAGGAUUGUAUAAUUCUUUCACUGGUGCCGAUAAUGACGGUACCCGGAGAAGAAGCCCCGGCUAACUUCGUG